UACGAAGGGGGCUAGCGUUGCUCGGAAUCACUGGGCGUAAAGCGCACGUAGGCGGAUUGUUAAGUCAGGGGUGAAAUCCUGGAGCUCAACUCCAGAACUGCCUUUGAUACUGGCGAUCUCGAGUCCGGGAGAGGUGAGUGGAACUGCGAGUGUAGAGGUGAAAUUCGUAGAUAUUCGCAAGAACACCAGUGGCGAAGGCGGCUCACUGGACCGGUACUGACGCUGAGGUGCGAAAGCGUGGGGAGCAAACAGG
rnacentral:rRNA from 1 species